rnacentral:rRNA from 1 species
AGUGAACGCUGGCGGUAGGCCUAACACAUGCAAGUCGAACGGCAGCACAGUAAGAGCUUGCUCUUACGGGUGGCGAGUGGCGGACGGGUGAGGAAUACAUCGGAAUCUACUUUUUCGUGGGGGAUAACGUAGGGAAACUUACGCUAAUACCGCAUACGACCUACGGGUGAAAGCAGGGGAUCUUCGGACCUUGUGCGAUUGAAUGAGCCGAUGUCGGAUUAGCUAGUUGGCGGGGUAAAGGCCCACCAAGGCGACGAUCCGUAGCUGGUCUGAGAGGAAGAUCAGACACACUGUAAGUGAGACACGGUCCACACUCCUACGGGAGGCAGCAGUGGGGAAUAUUGGACAAUGGGCGCAAGCCUGAUCCAGCCAUACCGCGUGGGUGAAGAAGGCCUUCGGGUUGUAGAGCCCUUUUGUUGGGAAAGAAAAGCAGCAGGUUAAUACCCCGCUGUUCUGACGGUACCCAAAGAAUAAGCACCGGCUAACUUCGUG